UGGUAGUCCGCACGAGCGCACCCCUAUCCCUAGUUGCCAGCACGUAAUGGUGGGAACUCUAGGGAGACUGCCUGUGUUAAGCAGGAGGAAGGUGGGGACGACGUCAAGUCCUCAUGGCCCUUACGUCCGGGGCUGGAAACGUGCUACAAUGGCCGGUACAAAGGGCUGCAAUACCGCGAGGUGGAGCUAAUCCCAAAAAACCGGUCUCAGUUCGGAUUAGAGUCUGCAACUCGACUCUAUGAAGGCGGAAUCGCUAGUAAUCGUGGAUCAGCAUGCCACGGUGAAUACGUUCCCGGGUCUUGUACACACCGCCCGUCAAGCGAUGAAAGCUGGGAAUACCCGAAGUCAGUAGUCCAACCCUCGGGAGGACGCUGCCGAAGGUAGAUCUGGUAAUUGGCGCUAAGUCGUAACAAGGUAGCCGUAUCGGGAGGUGCGGCUGGAUCACCUCCUCU
rnacentral:rRNA from 1 species